UGGCGAACGGGUGAGUAAUACGUGAGUGACCUACCUUUGACUCUGGGAUAAGCCUGGGAAACUGGGUCUAAUACCGGAUACGACCAAUCUCCGCAUGGGGUGUUGGUGGAAGGCGUUAUGGAGUGGUUUUAGAUGGGCUCACGGCCUAUCAGCUUGUUGGUGAGGUAAUGGCUUACCAAGGCGACGACGGGUAGCCGGCCUGAGAGGGUGACCGGCCACACUGGGACUGAGACACGGCCCAG
rnacentral:rRNA from 1 species